rnacentral:lncRNA from 1 species
CAGGUAGCAGCAGCUGCCUCCUUUUGAGGCUCUUGAAUGAAGCGGUAUGAUGUGCUUAGAGGGCUUGGCUCAGGUUCCCAAGCCAUGCUUUCUGAGAAACCUCAGUUCAUGUGUUUGAAUAUCUCAGCUGAGUUCUGAGUGGCACCUGCCUUGCUUUUGAUGUGAUACUGAGCCAUGGGUAGCUAAGCAUUUCUGAGCACUGCCUGUAUACAGAGCACCUUUGUAGGCUUCCAGCAGAUAAAAAUAACUAGGUACCAUGAAGUUGUAGUUAUUAAUGUGACAUUUUAAGUUCUAGUUUUAAGUCAUUUUUUAAAGUAUUCUGAGUCUCAAGAUAAUAACACCAUUGUAGUACAUAGAAAAAGACAGGUGACACUGUCCUGAUGUAGCUAAAUAGUCCGAUAUAGUCCACAGGCUAGUCCUACUCAGAUAUAGCUAUAGUGAGCAGCACAGGUAUUUUUCUCAAGCACCUUAAAUAAGACUCGAGACUUGUUACAGAAUGUACAGUAGUGGGAUGUGGAAUACAGGAACAGAUUAUUGAAUGCUGAACCAGGAAAAAAGUACGGGCUUUAGACGGAAGUGAACCCCAUGCUUCCCAGUGUGGGCUGGGUGGGGGUUUGAAGGAAAUUGCUUGCUGGGAAGUGAUAAGAUCUACUUGCCAUUAGGGCAAGGCAAACGUCAGGGUCCCCAAGACAGCCAAAGAACCACUGCAGGGACAUGCUGCAUGAGGAAUGUUAGGAUUGUUUGGGGGCAGUUUGCAGGGGAAGCAUGUCCCGGAGAUAAGGGUGUCAAUCCAGGUAUAUGGAUUUAGUAGUAAAAAGGCAUAGCUGGAGAUGCACAGGAGGACCAGGGAGAAAUGUCUCAGACUGGCUAACUUGAAUCUCCAGGGAUGGUUUUGAAGAAAAAUAUUUUAUUUCUGAAAAUCAGAUGCAAGUGUUAAGUACACAUCAGCCUAGACAAUGCCCCAGGCUUUGGUCUCCUCACCUAUAAAAUAGGGACAACUAGAACACUUAUUUGAUAGGGCUGUGAGGAUUAGCUCACAGAAACUACAUGCAGCCUGGCUUGUUAUACCUACUAAGCAUCCAGUGAACCUCAGCAAGUAUGAGACUCCAGAAGAUGAGAACCAAUGGCAACCCAAAGGAACUGGAAGUUACAUUAGGAAAACAUCCUUGCUGACAUGUGAGCCUCAGAGGAGUAAAAAGGAAGACAGACUGUGAAGGCCUUCAACCUCAGCCCAGUACGCAAAUGAAAGCAACUGAAAAGUCCCAGCCUCCUUGAUUUAGUGUUUGACUAGUGACUGAUCAUAGAGGCUACUGAGAUCCACCUGAUCAGCAAGACAGCUUUGGUAGCUCAAGUGUGGCGUUUGGAUUUAUUACAGAUAUCGAUGAAUUUCAAGUACAGGUGAGCAUUUUAGGUGUUUUGUCAGUUAAAUGAACUGUAAGUAUGUUGCAGUCCAAUAAAGCAUUAGUUAAGUAAUUUUGUAAUCAAAAAGCUGAUUAAGUUUUUAUUUAUAUGUGGUGCUGAGAAUCGAACUCACACAUGCUAGGCAAGUGCUCUGCCACUGAGCCACAACCACAGCCCACGUGGCAACAAUUUUUAAGUGCUUCUGGAAACAGCUUCUUGAGGCACUGCACAAAACUUCUUUAAAGUCUAGGGCUUGAAAACAAGUCAUUUAUCUUUGUUGAUGGGACAUUCAGUUUGGUAGCACCAGUCAAAAAAAACAAUAUGUUCUUCUGUCACCUUCAGGUAAAAACAUCUAUGUAGAUUCAAUGUGCAGAUACCUCAAGAGUUAGUGAAUGAAGCCUCUGAUGAGGAUCAAGAAGUUAUCAUUUUCCUUCGGAAAAUUCUAACCAUUCUAAUAGUUGAGUUGUAACCCAAAUUUGGGGGCUAGAAUUUUCAAAUUCGUUCUUAUAAUCCAACCAACCAGUUGUCAGUGAAAUUCAGCUGUGUCCAGAUACUAAUUUCAGUCCUCAUUUAACCAAGAUGUGUAUGGUGUGCUAUUUCAAAACACAUUCCUUUGUCUUCUAGCUGCCUAAUUAGCACAGUUGCAAGUACCGUUGUCUCCCAGCAAGGACUCACCCACGUGCCAGUUGUUCAGGGCUGGCGAACAAGAGAACAGUGAACCAGUCAUUAUGUUCUUGGACAGACUGGUUGCUCGACCUUACCAGCAACACUGGCAAGUUAGAUGGGUGUAGCAGAGAGCGCCGGGGGAUCAGAGACUUUCUUGCUGAGGUUGGCCUAAGUUAAUUUGCCUCAGAUGAGCUCACACUGCUUAUCACUAGCUCCUCUACUGUCUCUGAGCCUUCAGGUUAAUGGGUGGCGGAGUUGAUGGAGAUGGGAAACUCCCCCAGCCAGGAGGGAUAGCUGCUGUGUAAGUGGGAAGAAGCCCAGACAGAGCGCUGAGCAGGAGGCUGGCUUCAGCUCAGCUUGGCCUACAUGGGCUUCAGGCCAUCUCUUGCUGUUUGUCAUAUGGCCUUGAGGUAUUUCUUCUCAAUCCUAAAAUUUGC